UUUCCCAAUUUCCAUCAAUUUUCCCCAGUUUACCUCAAUGUUUUCCCAAUUUCCCUCAAAUUUUUCCCAAUUUCCCUCAAAUUUUUUCCCAAUUUCCCCCCAUUUUUUCCCUAAUUUCCCCAUUUUUUCCCAAUUUCCCCCAUUUCCCCUCCAUUUUUUCCCAAUUUUUCCCCAUUUUCCCUCCAUUUUUCCCAAUUUCUCCCCGUUUUUCCCCAUUUCCCCCCGAGCUGGGAUCGGGUCCCUGUUGUUCCCGGGGGGUUUUGGGGCGUCCCCCCCUCCCCAAAUCCACCCCGGGGGGGGCUUUGACCUCUGACCCCCCUGGGAUUUUGGGGUCCCAGGUGGAAUUUUGGGGUCUGAAAUGGAAUUUCGGGAUCCCCAGGUGGAAUUUUUAGGGUCCCCAGGUGGAAUUUUGGGGUCCCAAAUGGAAUUUUGGGGCUCCCACCCCCCGGCUUCGGGCCCCGCCCGUGGGAAUUCCGGCGUUUUCCCGGGAAUUUGGGAAUUUUUGGGUCCCCCUCCGCGGAAUUUCGGGGUUCCCCCUGGAAUUUUGGGAAUCCUGCCCCUCCCCCCAUUAACAGUAUUAACCCCUCCCCCCAGACCCCUCCCCCUCCUCUCCCAAACCGGUUUGUGCCGGUUUGUGCCGGCCGGGCUCGCGUUUCUCGCUGACUUUUGCCCAAUUCCGGCCGUUUUUGGCCCAAAUCCCGGGCCGGCCGCGCCCCCAGUGCCUCUGGAACCCCAAAUUCUCAGGGAAAAACCAAAACUCCGCAACCCCGCGGCCGGAAUGGUCGGGAAACGGCGCCUUUUGCACCGGAGCGGGGGCUGGGGGGGAGUUUUGGGGCCAAAAGGAGCCAAAUUGGGAUUUUCGGCUUGGAGGCGGAUUUUUUAUUUCUUUUUUCGUUUUUUUUCGGGCGGUUUUGGCCCCAGCUUGAGUGGCUUGAUGAGGAAUUCGGCAAUAACGAAGCGGCGCCGCUUCGGGGAGUUGAUUUUGAACCCUUCCGUGGUUUUUUUUUUACCCAUUUUGAGCCAAAAUCAUCUUUUUUUUGGGGGGGUCUGUUUGAGGGGGUUUUUUUUGGGUGGAUUCCUUCGAAAUUGCCUCAUUUGGGGGCAGGGGGAGGGGAGGGACCCCAAAAUCGCUCCUUUUCCCCCCCGAAGCGGUGGCGGAAUUAUUUAAUUUGUAAAUAAUGUACAAAUUUUUACCAGCUCCGCUGUAAAUACAAUAAAGGUUGCAGUAAAGCUC